rnacentral:tRNA from 2 species
AAAUGGAUAGCUCAUUCUGGUAGAGCAAUCGACUAAUAAUCGAUCUGUCGCGGGUUCGAUUCCCGCUCCA